CACGUAGGGCGCAAGCGUUGUCCGGAAUUAUUGGGCGUAAAGAGCUCGUAGGCGGUGUGUCGCGUCGGCCGUGAAAACCUGCAGCUUAACUGUGGGCUUGCGGUCGAUACGGGCAUCACUGGAGUUCGGCAGGGGAGACUGGAAUUCCUGGUGUAGCGGUGAAAUGCGCAGAUAUCAGGAGGAACACCGGUGGCGAAGGCGGGUCUCUGGGCCGUAACUGACGCUGAGGAGCGAAAGCAUGGGGAGCGAACAGG
rnacentral:rRNA from 1 species